UCCACACCCAUGUGUGUAGGAUCCUAAAGGAUCACCAUUUAAUUUGGCAGAGAUCUCUAGAAAAAGUAUCACAUGGGUAUGGGAUUUGACUUUUCUAGAGAUCUAUGCCAAAUUUAAUGGUGAUCUUUUGGGGUCCUACACACAUGGGUGUGGG
rnacentral:pre_miRNA from 1 species